rnacentral:lncRNA from 1 species
ACCAACCACUUUCACCUCUGGUCAACCUACUGUCACCUCCACUCCACCAGCCACAGUCACUUCUGUCCAACAUGCGGUCACCUCCAUUCCAUCUGCUGUCAUCUCCUCUCCAACAGCCACUGUCAACCCAAUACGACCUGCUGUUGCCUCCUCUCCACCUGCUGUCACUUCUGCACCUGGUGGAAUCUUUUCUCCACCUGCUGGCAUCCCCUUUGCUCCAACAGCCCUCCCCUUUUCAGGAAAAUAUUUGAAAGACGCCUGGGCGGGGACAAAUGUUCAUGUCCUAUCUAAAAUGGGUCCUUAUAAAAUGUUUUAUUGGGACAUUGCAAAGCUAGCACCAAAUCAACAGCUUAAGGUAAGGCACAUCGCUUUUAUUUACUUUUUUUGUAGAAGUUUUAACUUUUAGCCAGAAAGUGACACGAUAGAAAAUCAUAAAUGAUGUGUGUAGAUUCAUAUUCAUAUUGAUUUCUUCCUCUAAGGUGAUCAAUGCCUACCUGAUGCACAUUGUUAAAAAGAGUAAUCAGCAGCAAAGAAGCAAACAGGCACUAUGCAUCGAUUCCUUUGAGAUGUCUAAUAUAUGGCAGGGGAAAACCACAAAACUGAAGUAUGCUGAGAAAAUUCUGUCAGGGGAGCCUCUGACUUUUUCCAGUUCAGCAUCGGCAGUUUUGAAAUACAGACAAGAGGUGGCAAUGACACUGAUUGAAGAAACAGAUGAUCUCAAAGAGCUAUGCCACUACUGCGGAGAAAGAAACAAUGGGAAAAGCAAACGUGGAAAAGGAGGAAAAGACAAGAAUGCACUACUGUCUGGGUAAGAAGUUGUUGAAUUAAGCAAAUUCUUUAUUCUGGUCCAGAUCUGCGUAUAAUGUUUGGGACAAAUCUAGUACAUACAGUCAUGUGGAAAAAAUUAGAGCACCCCAUAAGAACCUUUAUUUUUGACCAAACAUGGACAUUUAAUUUUCAAUUAAUACUAUAAUAUAACUAAACCAAUAAAACUGAAGGAAUAUCUUUUACA